rnacentral:rRNA from 1 species
AACGAACGCUGGCGGCGUGCUUAACACAUGCAAGUCGAGCGAGAAAGGGGAGCAAUCCCCGAGUAAAGCGGCAAACGGGUGAGUAACACGUGGGUAACCUACCCUCGAGUGGGGAAUAACAUCUCGAAAGAGGUGCUAAUACCGCAUGACAUCGAGAGGGCUCUGGCCUUUUCGAUCAAUGGUUGGGAUCUUCGGACCAACCGCUUGAGGAUGGGCCCGCGGCUGAUUAGCUAGUUGGUGGGGUAAUGGCCUACCAAGGCGACGAUCAGUAGCCGGACUGAGAGGUUGAUCGGCCACACUGGAACUGAGACACGGUCCAGACUCCUACGGGAGGCAGCAGUGAGGAAUUUUGGACAAUGGGCGAAAGCCUGAUCCAGCAACGCCGCGUGGACGAUGAAGGUCUUCGGAUCGUAAAGUCCUGUCGAGUGGGGAAGAAAUGCAGGAGGGUUAACAGCCCUUCUGUCUGACUGUACCACCAGAGGAA